UACGUAGGGUGCAAGCGUUGUCCGGAAUUAUUGGGCGUAAAGAGCUCGUAGGCGGUCUGUUGCGUCGGCCGUGAAACCUGCAGCUUAACUGUGGGCUUGCGGUCGAUACGGGCAUCACUGGAGUUCGGCAGGGGAGACUGGAAUUCCUGGUGUAGCGGUGAAAUGCGCAGAUAUCAGGAGGAACACCGGUGGCGAAGGCGGGUCUCUGGGCCGAUACUGACGCUGAGGAGCGAAAGCGUGGGGAGCGAACAGG
rnacentral:rRNA from 1 species